rnacentral:rRNA from 1 species
UACAGAGGGUGCAAGCGUUGUUCGGAAUCACUGGGCGUAAAGGGUGCGUAGGCGGGUUAUUAAGUCAGAGGUGAAAUCCUGGAGCUCAACUCCAGAACUGCCUUUGAUACUGAUAGUCUUGAGUAUGGGAGAGGUGAGUGGAACUGCGAGUGUAGAGGUGAAAUUCGUAGAUAUUCGCAAGAACACCAGUGGCGAAGGCGGCUCACUGGCCCAUUACUGACGCUGAGGCACGAAGCGUGGGAGGCAAACAGG